UACGAAGGGUGCAAGCGUUACUCGGAAUUACUGGGCGUAAAGCGUGCGUAGGUGGUUCGUUAAGUCUGAUGUGAAAGCCCUGGGCUCAACCUGGGAAUGGCAUUGGAUACUGGCGACCUAGAGUGCGGUAGAGGGGUGUGGAAUUCCCGGUGUAGCAGUGAAAUGCGUAGAUAUCUGGAGGAAUACCGGUGGCGAAGGCGGCAUCCUGGACCGACAUUGACGCUGAUGAGCGAAAGCUAGGGGAGCAAACGGG
rnacentral:rRNA from 1 species